CCUACGGGUGGCAGCAGUGAGGAAUAUUGGUCAAUGGGCGAGAGCCUGAACCAGCCAAGUCGCGUGAGGGAGUACUGCCCUAUGGGUUGUAAACCUCUUUUGUCGGGGAGCAAAAGCCGGACGUGUCCGGCUGUGAGAGUACCCGAAGAAAAAGCAUCGGCUAACUCCGUGCCAGCAGCCGCGGUAAUACGGAGGAUGCGAGCGUUAUCCGGAUUUAUUGGGUUUAAAGGGUGCGCAGGCGGAUUUUUAAGUCAGCGGUAAAAUCGUGGGGCUCAACCCCAUCCAGCCGUUGAAACUGGGGAUCUAGAGUGUGCGAGAGGUAUGCGGAAUGCGUGGUGGAGCGGUGAAAUGCAUAGAUAUCACGCAGAACCCCGAUUGCGAAGGCAGCAUACCGGUGCACAACUGACGCUCAGGCACGAAAGCGUGGGUAUCGAACAGGAUUAGAUACCCGUGUAGUC
rnacentral:rRNA from 1 species